UACAGGAAUUGUUGAUAAAACUGAAUGGUAUAUAUGGCAAUGUUUCUUUGCAGUUUCCCUUACCUUCACAGGAACCUACUCAUCCAUACCAGCCCUAUAUGAUACCUAUAUCAUACAUCAUCAAAGGAUGUUAAAUUAGCUUGUCAAUUUAACACAUUACCAGUACCAGUUUAUGAUCUCUUUGCCAGGAAUUUAACCUGGUGGGAACCCACAUACACAGGGGACUAUAUUUUUCCCAAAGAUAAUAUGACCUAUUCCCUCAAACACUGACAAAGGAUAUGCAUGUCGACACUCGUCCCCUAUUUACGAACCAUGCUUACUCCAAAAUGAACUUAACAAGUGCAUAUGGCACAUAUGUCCUGAAAAUUAUUUUACCGUGACUGAAAUAAGCACACAACAUAUCUGUUUGGCAACUAACCUCCCUACAAAGAUAAUUACUAGUAAUACAAGUAUUAAUCUACCUGUGGCAGAAGCAGCCACAAGAGACUUUUGCAUUGAUUAUUGCCUGUAUUUGAACUGUAUGUUAUUUGAGCAUAGUGGAUUUUAUUAGACUGGUUCUGGCCCUUUAAAUGCUCUGACAAAGGAUCUGCAGUUUUGCUAUGCACUUCGGAUGCAGAGUGUGAAGAAAAACCCUGUUUUAUGGACUUAGUUUGACUGUUUUAUUCCCCUCCCUCCUAGAACACCAGUUUAAAAACCCUUAAUAACUGUCAUAUAUCCAAACGCUGUCUGUCUUUAACUGUCAGUUUAUUUUACUCUGAGGAGGAGUUGUUUUGCUGCGUGAGUGCUGUUGCUUUGUGUGCUCAUUAAAACAGAC